rnacentral:rRNA from 1 species
AUGGCUCCGCGUUCAGCCGCUCUCGCUCUCAAGGCAGCCGCCGUCGCCGCCAUUCUCGCCAUGCUGGUUGCGCCUUCUUUGGGGCGCUGCGGUCACCCUCAGGCGCCGGCGCCGGCAGCCCCACCGCCGCCAACACCCACACCACCACCACCACCACCACCUCCGGCACCGGUGCCGGGGCCUGGGCCUGGGCCAACGAUAUCGUGCAACGACUGUUUUUCGCAGUGCUACUCACCAUGUGAAGCCUCCAUUGCCUCGAACUGCAGCAGCUACUGCGACGGGGUUGAGUAUGCAUGCAACUCCUGCAAGAUGGACGUGACCGAGGGCUGCAAGAAAGCAAACAACUGCACCGGCAGCUGCGACGAGUGCAACUUCGACCCUAGCCCUUCGUGCGUCAGCCCCUGCACCACCCGAUACUGCGACCUCUGCCGAUACGGGCUGGGGCAGCAGUGCCGGGAAACCUGCCAGAAGGAGUGUUCUGCGCCCAAAUGCGUACCAUGGAGCCCUCAGAACUAG